CCUCCAGAGCUCAGUUUAGAGACCUCCAGAUAUUAAACGGACUUCCUACACUUAGAUUACUUGCUUAACAUCAAGUAUUAAUAUGAAUGGCUGGCAUCUGACUCUAAGCCUUGUAAGAAUAGGAACUGAGUCCAACCCAUUCGCUGCUGUGCCACCAGUUCCCAGCACAUGCCUGGCACAUAGUAGGUACCCAAUAAAUAUUUGUUAAAUGAAUGAAUAGUCCUCUCAGGAAACAGAUAUUUUAGGCCAUUUGAAUUUUUCUCUGAUGAUCUUGUAUUCCCCAGUUUUUUCUCCAAUGAUCAUGUAUUCUUUGUGCAGUUUUUAAAAGGAAGAAUUUUAUUUAUUUAUUUUUUCCAAAGUUGCCCCGGCUCCCCUGAAUCUUGUGCUGAGCCAGCCUUGGUUGCAUGCACUCAGCAGAAACGAGCUCUUUCCCUCCCCAGAGCAGGAGGUGGCGAGGUGAAGGUGCACUGUACUGGGGUGGCACUAAGACCCUUGCACAGCACUGCUGGCAGCCAGCAAUCUCUUAGAACUGGCAGAUGUGCUCAAUCAGAUUAGUUUCCUCCUCCCCUCCUCGCUUUUCAAACCUUUCAGAGCUCUGCUACCAGGCCCAAGAGGAUUAUCCUCCAAUGGAAGGCACCAGGGAUUACUGCGGAAUCUGAUUUCACCUGCUCCCUCUGCUUCCUGGGAACGCACACGGCAGGCCACAGCCAGGCAGUGCUGGGUCUGAAUCCUCAGGAGUUUGCCCUGGACCUACGAGCACUAAACUCGACAGGCUGCUUAUUUGCUUAUGUUGUAGGACCUUGUCCCACAUGAAGAUAAAAUGGUGCUGCAGAAUGGAAAGUGCUUCACAAGCCCCCGGCACACAGAAUGGGCUGUGCUUCGAGCUGGUCAUGCACUUGCUCGUGGCAGGAACCUUCUAGGUAGGUUCUUUACAAUCCUCAGAGGCUCAGAGAAAAAGCUGAUGGGAGAACUCAGCUUCUACACCCAGAAGCAGACUUCAGAGUUAACCUGGGCUUGGCCUGGCCAGCAGUUAAAAAGCAGCCAGAAAAGAUUUUAUGAGUUUCCUGAUGCUGCACGUGCCUGGCAGACAUUUCCUCCCUUCCUCCUGGGACUGUGAGUGGGGCUGGCCCCUUGUCCCCAGCGCUGCCACCACCAAGCACCGUUACUCAGCUGCUUCCUCCUUAUCGACAAACUGCACAGGCAACAGAUGCCUAGAAGACUUCAGGCGAGUCCCCUGGGAGAGGCUGGGAACAGAAUUCUGAGUCCUUCCAAGCCAGACAAUAGCCAUGGAAUCUCUGACUUCUCUGAUGCACUUUUGAUUUCGAAAAUUUUCAAAUCAGAGAAAAGAUGAAAGACAACAAUGAACACAUAGGACCCUUCACCAGAUUCUGCCCUUGCUGACCCUGAUCCAUGUGUGCUCUGUCUAGGUGUAUUCUGUCUGUAAAUACUGGUUUUGUUAGACCAUUUCUAGUCAAGUUGCAGACGUGACAUGCCACCCCGAACACUUCAGCAUCCGUUCCUGAGGUCAUUUUCCUACAAAUUGUAAUGUUAUUAGCAUUUCUAAGACAUGAACAUUAAUGCAAUCACAUUUUCUAAUAUUCAGUCCACAUCUGACUUUCUCCAGGGGUCCUAAAAAUGCCUUUUAUAACCUUUGUUUUGUGUUUUUGGAUCCAGAAUCCAAACUAGGUUCACACAUGGAGUCUAUUACCGCUGAAGUCCCCUUGUUUCGUUUGCUUUUCAUGACACUGACUCUGGGAGAAUCUAGGCCAGUUGUCUUGUAAAAUGCUCCACAUUCUGGAUCUGCCUGAUUGUUUCCUCACAAUUAGAUGCAGGUCAAACAGUACAGGCAAGCAAAUGACAGAAGCUGUUCUGUCCUUCUCACCCACUGGACCAUAGCAGGAGUCCUAGGAAACGUCACUUUGUCCUGGCUUAUGUUAGAUCACUUGAUUAAGGUGGUGACACGAGACUGCUCCAGUUCAAGUUAUUGAAGGCAAGAAAGGUGCUUCCUACUCUUGGCAAAAAAAGGCACUGCUCAUACGCCCAGCAGACAAGCGUCUUUCUGAGGAACCAGGGGAGACAGAUUUUGAGCAAUUGAUGGAGAGGGUGUGAAACUACUCUGAGGGCACCAUGCUCUGGCAGGCUGUUUUUACUGUGUAAGGCAGUGCAGCGGGCAGUGCCCACACUCUGAUGAUGACUGUCCUGGAUUCUACGGAGUGGCAGCCGCUUACUAGCCAUGUGGUCUGGGGGCUGCAUCUCCAGUCUCUGGCACAGAGGCCUUGAUAAAUAAUCAACGAAUGGAUGGAAGGACGGAUGGAUGAAAGAAUGAAAGCAAGCCCAUUUCUGACAGGCUGAAUCAAUUCCUGAGCCCAGUUUUAAAAAGAGACCAGAGGUGAGGUUGUGGGUGGUUGUUUUCUUUAGGAGGAAAUUGUGAAAAUGCCUUCUAGGUCAGAGGUGGCAUUCGGCCAGCUGGGUCACCCACGGGCUUCCCUUCUUGCUGGGAGGACUUCCCUGUGUCAGGAAGGAGAAACUGCUGUGAUGACAUCACACUGCGGCCUCAGGCAACCCCUGGUUCCUUUGUGCUCCGCUUUACACGUGACCCAAAUAAGUGUCACUGACUGAAAGCAGGGCCUGCGGGGUGGGGGCCAUUUGUCACCCGAAUAGCUGGCAUCUGGGGCCUGCAUCCCACAAGUGCUUCUGUCCUCGUACGGAGGAUAGGAGUUAUCUCCUGUCACGAAAGAAGGUUUCGGUGUCACUGCUUUAAAGAAAGCUCACUCC
rnacentral:lncRNA from 1 species